AAGAGCUGAAGGCUUUGUCUGUCUAAUGCAGUCAUAAGCGUGGCUUCCCUGCCGUGAGGGGUUAGCGUAUAAUGAAAAGGUGUAAUAGCCUGAUGUACGACCUUCGCGUCAUACUUAUAAUGGUUAAUAACAGCAUUCCUGUCUACCCCGAUGAUGCUUCUCUCUGCAAAUGGACUAUUUGCCCAGUUGCAACAGGGCUAAGAUUGUCGCACUAUGACAAUGAGUUGUUGAUUGUUUGGAGUUGCGGUGUCCUGUCAGAAAGAUUUCUUGACUUUCUCCAAGUUACUUCCUUCCAGGGAUGUUACGGGUUUUAAUAGGUACCUUGCAGACCAUAACGAGUCUGCUGUUUACUCAUCAAACAGGAAGUGCAAUGAUGAAACUUUUUUUUAAGGAAUCCUAAUUGUCUUAGACUUCCUUAGUUCAGAUAAUGAAACAGACUAAAGUGAGUGCUCAGUAAAGUCAUUUUAAUCCCUUUCAUCUGUAACUAGUCAGGAGUUCAUUAGCCAACUAAGAAGAACCUACAUCAUUUGCAGACCUUGUAUUUGAGAUGCUAACUUUGUUCCUCAAAAGGACAAAUUUUUAUUCAACCCAAUUAAAUUCAACAAGUAUUUCUGUGUAUACUCUGCCUGGAACGGCUGCUGAGAAUGUGCUUGCCUGUUACUCUGUUGUGGGGGAAUAACUGAAAUUAGAUAGUGUAAAUUUUCAGCAACCAGAUUUUCUUACUACCUUUAGCACUGACCAGAUCACUUAAGACAUUUCAGAAUGUGUGACCGUUGGCUAUAAGAUAAAGUUCUCAAGGUUACAUAUCCUACAAUCAACGAACUUCUGUUCUUUUUCUGCAUGUAACUUUUGCUCAUGUGAAAAAUGCAACUCUGGCUACUAUAUUUUACAUCACAUCUUAAUGUUAUAAAGAAGAAAAAAACAUAGACAUCUCUUUUUUUGUACACUAAACAUGUCAUUUGAAAAUAUAUCCAUGUGUCAAACUUUGAGCUUAUCCAUAUUUUAGCCUCAGAAGCAGGAAGACAC
rnacentral:lncRNA from 1 species